UAUGGAUAAUCAAUUAAUAUUUAUUGACACAAUAUUGAUAUAAUAUACAUGCUAUCGUGAAAUAGAACCGGACGUGAUAAGAACUCAUUUCUUGUAUUCGUAAGCGUUUCUUAUUAUCUCGCGGCAGAAUGUCCAUUGUACAAUCAGCAAGAAGACUCAUACGUAAUAUAUUGCAUUAAAAUAUCAUUGCAACCGCAAUCUGGAAAGAUCCGACUCGGGACGAGUUAUUGGUUGCAAUUAAUUUGUAAAAGAGCAUUGAGUGACCACAAAUACUUUUUUUCUUCGGACAUUUAUUCGCACACCUAUAUUUGAAACAGAAAAAAAAGGAAAGAAGGAAAAGAAAAAAAAAAAAAGAAAGAUGAUCGAAGGACUAUGCGUGUCGGAUCAAAUUCGCCAGAAAAAUGCCUGUUACUAUUUUGUUGGAAAAAUCAAUGACAUCGAAUGCACGCAGAAUGCACGCUGAAUAUACGCUUCGAAUUGGUUCGGUAAAAGAAACAGACGAAGAAUUCAUAACGGCCAAUCAACGGGACAAAUUGAUAGUGAAAAGUCAAAUAAAUUGUUAUGUCUGUGAACGUGUAAAACUUCUUUUUUUUUAUGGCUUAUCGACAUCUGUGUAUAGUCUAAAUUUGUGAUUCGCAAUCGAUUAUCGUUCCUGUUUGAAAAUUGAAAAAAAAAAAAAAAAAGAAAAAAAAACAAAUAAAAAUAUUCGAUACGAAAAGCAAUAUGUUACGUAAAGAUUAACGACGAUUGAAAAUUAGUUAUAAUUGGCACAUAUAUAUAUAUAUUACAUUAUUAUAGUACACUAUUAUAAUAGACUAUAUAUAUCGUAACAAUUUACGUUAUAUUUAAUGUAAUUAAAUUGAAUCGUUGAAGCUGCGUAUAAACAAUAAAUCGAAUCGUACGAGUUAAGGAUGAUUAUACAGGCAAGCUUCCGCUAUUAGAACCAUGAUAAUGGCGGAAUAUUCUUUAGAGAUAAUUGCAUCGGUUUCAGGUAAUUAGCAGCCGAUGAAUAAUUAUUGCGAACGUAGUAGUUAGGAUAGGUUCGAUGAGCGUUCUCA